rnacentral:tRNA from 1 species
GUGGCUCAGUGGUAGAGUGCUUGCCUUGCAUGCAAGAGGCCCUGGGUUCGAUUCCCCAGC